rnacentral:rRNA from 1 species
UAGGGAAUCUUCCGCAAUGGACGCAAGUCUGACGGAGCAACGCCGCGUGAGUGAAGAAGGAUUUCGGUUCGUAAAACUCUGUUGUUAGAGAAGAACAGCGCAUAGAGUAACUGUUAUGCGUGUGACGGUAUCUAACCAGAAAGCCACGGCUAACUACGUGCCAGCAGCCGCGGUAAUACGUAGGUGGCAAGCGUUGUCCGGAUAUAUUGGGCGUAAAGCGAGCGCAGGCGGUCAAUUAAGUCUGAUGUGAAAGCCCCCGGCUCAACCGGGGAGGGUCAUUGGAAACUGGUUGACUUGAGUGCAGAAGAGGAGAGUGGAAUUCCAUGUGUAGCGGUGAAAUGCGUAGAUAUAUGGAGGAACACCAGUGGCGAAGGCGACUCUCUGGUCUGUAACUGACGCUGAGGGUCGAAAGCGUGGGUAGCAAACAGG